rnacentral:sRNA from 1 species
CAGGCCUUUAGGCUUGGCUUAGGAGUCUCUUCAACAGCCACCUGGGGCUCGGGCCUUUGGAUUGAAUGUCAGCAUUGGAUUUUCUGGUUUUCUGUCUUAUAGACAGGGGGCAAUAGAACUUCUGGGGCACCAAAAUCAACUGGUCUGCUACCAGAAGGGGCCACCCCAACUGACAGAGGGUCUUCACACAUCGAUCAAGGCGGUCAGGACAAUUCAUCUGCUGAGACUCCCUAUUCAGGCUCUGACUCGUGGAGCUGCUUCUCGAUUUGGAUCUGGUUCAUUUGAUGGAAGGAUUUGCUGUCUUCUCAACUUUCUAUGAAGGAUGCUUCUUGUCCCAGUCUUGCUAUGAGGACGUCAUACAAGUCUCUUGAUCUGUAUCAUCUGCCAGCUGGACUCCUCAUCACUAAUUCUGGCUGCCUGCUGGGAGAGCCUUGAAGGCUAGGCUGCAUGCAGAAAAAGACUCUGCAGACCUCUUAAAUCCUUUCUGAGCUGGCAGGAUUCCAAUAAUCUCUGCCACACUCCUGGGGGUAAACCCAAGCCCAGACCCUAGCUCUUCUGGCCUCCUCCUUGGUUUUACAGGCAUGAGGCCAGACCUCCUUACGACCAAGAAGACCCAAAGCUUGCUUCCAAAAUGUCUCCUCAUUAUACUGUCACACUGCUUCAGGCAUGUUAGGAGGCAAAACAGCCAAGUCUCUGCUGGCUAGGAGUCUGUCAGCAUCACAACAGAAAUAAACAGAAUAAGAGACAACGAGCUCAUUCCACAGAGCUGAGAUAAAAGUAGACAGACAGCCCAAUACUGAGGAGGACACAAGGCAAGGAAGUACUCAGGUCACAACUGUGCGUUCUUGGGCACUUGAGAGCCUUUGGAGAGAAGUGCUCUUAGAACCUAAUCUUGCAGAGGUAACUGUCCUUGAGCUGGCUUCUUCACAGGGAAGGAACAAGCAGGACCCCACUAAGAUGUUUCUAGAACACUUGAUUUGGGUGUCCUGUAAUCUGUAUUCUCCGGGUUGGACUUGACUCUUGCCACCAUAGUCAUCUGUAGGAGACACUUACCAGAUCUAGGUUAUGAAUAUUCUCUGCUGGAAGGAAGCUCAGGAGGCAGUGGCUCGUGAGGCUUCCAAGGUGUCUCAGGAUCCUCACAAAAAUCUCUUCCUUCCCGGAGGUUAUCUAGUGGAUAAACAGUUGACCAGGGUGUGACUCUUCCAUGAUGUCGCUGUCUGUUGUUUGCUCAUGGGAUUUACUGGUGCUGUAGGUGUCUUUGAGUCAGUCACCUGUGCUCUUAUAAGUAUCCCCAGUAAAUUCACUGGUUCACCAAACUGGUCUUGGAUGGACUCCUUUCUUUGGUCUGCCAGUGCCCUAUCUCUGUUUCCCAGGAAAAGCCAUAUGACUUAAGGCCCAUUUCUUAAAAUUGAGCUCUAAGAGUCAGGGAUAGGAAACUAACAAGGAAAUGUGCUGUGUGUUUCACUCUCUAGGGUAGGAUGUUUUUGGUUCAUCGCUGAGUUAGCUGUUAGGGACUUCCUGACUCCCUAGCCAGCCA